UACGUAGGUGGCAAGCGUUAUCCGGAAUUAUUGGGCGUAAAGCGCGCGCAGGUGGUUUCUUAAGUCUGAUGUGAAAGCCCACGGCUCAACCGUGGAGGGUCAUUGGAAACUGGGAGACUUGAGUGCAGAAGAGGAAAGUGGAAUUCCAUGUGUAGCGGUGAAAUGCGUAGAGAUAUGGAGGAACACCAGUGGCGAAGGCGACUUCUGGUCUGUAACUGACACUGAGGCGCGAAAGCGUGGGGAGCAACAGG
rnacentral:rRNA from 1 species